rnacentral:rRNA from 1 species
AACGAACGCUGGCGGCAUGCCUAACACAUGCAAGUCGAACGAGACCUUCGGGUCUAGUGGCGCACGGGUGCGUAACGCGUGGGAACCUGCCCUUAGGUUCGGAAUAAUUCCCCGUAAGGGGUGCUAAUACCGGAUAAUGUCUUCGGACCAAAGAUUUAUCGCCGUUGGAUGGGCCCGCGUCGGAUUAGUUAGUUGGUAGGGUAAAAGCCUACCAAGGCGACGAUCCAUAGCUGGUCUGAGAGGAUGAUCAGCCACACUGGGACUGAGACACGGCCCAGACUCCUACGGGAUGCAGCAGUGGGGAAUAUUGGACGAUGGGCGAGAGCCUGAUCCAGCAAUGCCGCGUGAGUGAUGAAGGCCUUAGGGUUGUAAAGCUGUUUUACCCGGGAUGAUAAUGACAGUACCGGGAGAAUAAGCUCCGGCUAACUCCGUG